UUUAGCAAUACUGUGUUUAUGGUAACGAAAAACAAAGGCUUCUGAUUUCUUCUGUCAAGCUUUGAUAGCCCUAACUUAAAAGCUAAAGAGGAAGUACAUAAAAUAAAUAAGAAACUUGGGAAGAGCCAUUAUCUAUAUAGUAGCAGUCUAAUAGAGGUUAGACUAUUCCACAGUUUUAUAUCUUGCAUCUUCAUUGGUUCAGUCUUCAUUGAAUCAUUUUGGAGGAUUUUUCUCCACUUUUCCUGGUCAUUUGGAGUUUGACCCAAAUCAAAGUAGCCGUCACUCCCAUUUUAAACAAUCAGCUUUAAAAAGUAAUUGAAUUUAUAUACUGUAAUUGCUUUUAGCUGCAUUGGGCAUGAUUUGGUGGAAAUACAUCGGUGGAAAGAUGGAAUUUAACAAAUGAAACAAAACAAAAAUUGAAGAAAAAACAUUUUAUUGUUGGAUGAAACACAGUCUGCAGAAAUGAAACACAAUCAGAACUGAAGGGAGAAAUUCUAAAUGGUGUCCAAGCUUUGGAGGAGCAAACAGAAGGGGAAGGUUCCUAUAUGGAAGCUCUAAAAUGUCACUCAUCACAGAAAAAAAUUCUUGGAGUCUGCAUCUUCUUUCAAAACAUUUGACAUCACUUCUGAUCUGGAUUUUAUCAAAUUCUCUAGGUGUGGGGAAAAUGUUAAAGCCCUUAAAUAUAGCAGUUCCAUUUUAUUAUGAGAUAAUGUUCCAUCUCUCAGUUUUAUUACAAUUUUAAGGAGAUGUUCAUUUUUAUGUCUGUUAGAUUCUGUUGUAACUAUUAGAAAUGUUGUAUGUGAUCUUUUAAAUUUCUUUUUCCUGAAAUGUUUAAUGGGGUGCUCUUUUGACAUUUUUGCUGAAAAUGUUUGUUUUAAAAUAGAUCCAAUUAGUAUAUAGUAGUAUUAAAUGAUAUAUAUGUGUGCAUGAUAGGACACUGUGUUGAAGAAUUUCUUCUCCCUGGUGUGCCAGUUUGAUUAUAUGCAUGGAAUUUUUAUAUAAAGGAGCAUUUAAGCAUGAGAUCUUCUCUACUUCCAGUCUGAAGUAGCACCAUGCAAAAUUUUACUAACUUUACAUAAUUCCUUGCAAGUAGAGAAAUAGGCCAGCAAUGAGCUGACUACAAUCUGUCUCCAGGCUUUGCUUAUUUAGUUACCUUAAAAAAAAAAGUAACAUGUAUAAUAUCUAUGUGCUGGUUUGCACGAGAUGUGUUAAAUUCUUAAUGUACAAGAACAACUGUAGUUCAUCACACUGCAGGUA